rnacentral:rRNA from 1 species
GACGAACGCUGGCGGCGUGCCUAAUACAUGCAAGUCGAACGCAGUGGCGGACGGGUGAGUAACACGUGGGUAACCUACCCAUCAGAGGGGGAUAACUACUGGCAACGGUGGCUAAUACCGCAUACUAUCGGAUGAACCCAUAUGGGAUUAGCUAGUAGGUGGGGUAAAGGCUCACCUAGGCGACGAUCUCUAGCUGGUCUGAGAGGAUGAUCAGCCGCAUUGGGACUGAGACACGGCCCAGACUCCUACGGGAGGCAGCAGUGGGGAAUAUUGGGCAAUGGGCGCAAGCCUGACCCAGCAACGCCGCGUGAAGGAAGACGGUCUUCGGAUUGUAAACUUCUUUAGACAGGGACGCGGUACCUGUAGAAUAAGCCACGGCUAACUACGUGCCAGCAGCCGCGGUAAUAC